AGGACCAAUCUCCCUCACCAAAAAAAAUAAUAAUAAUAAAAUAAAAUGAGGUAAUCCUGUCUCAAUUGUAGCUAUAGAUUGCAAAUCUUGUGUCAGUUCGAAUUUCUGCCAGCAGAUACUAAUGACUUUACUGAAAGCAGAAGAUAUUUAGAAUGGAAAUGGAAGUAUAAACACAGCCCUAGUUGAUGAAUACACUCAUUGUACUUCCUUAUUAUGACACUAGCAAAUAUUCAGUCUUUAAGUUGAUCCGUGAUAUAUUCAACAGUACCACGGGAGCAUAAUUUUUUAAAUGACUUGUCCAAAGUUUCUUAUCAAUCCAUCCUAGCAACAGAGCCGAGUGUUAGAGUUAUGGCUGCCUGAGUUACAACAGCUGCCCUGGGAAUCUUGUCCAAACAGCAAGUUAACUGCUAUUCACAGAAAUAUCUGGUCUUUCCCGCCCCUAAAGAUACACAAAAGAUUUUUGUCAUUCUUGGCAUUGGUCAAUAGAAGUAGCAAGACAUGCCAGCAGAACUCUAAAGGCAGAAUGUCCUUCCACCUGUUUUAUGCUGUAAGACAGACUUCCAAGUGCGAGGCGGUGUGGAGGGCUGUUUCCUUGAAUGGCAGCUGAAUGCACCAGCAGGAUCCUUGGCAGCGAUGCCCAGGCACUGAAGCUGGGCAUUCAGGAGAGCUAAAUGAAGAAAAGAAACUUGAGCAAACUACUUCCUGGAACACCGAGAACCUGAUUGGGAAAUUAAGAAGUACCAGAUUCUCUCUAUUCUCCCACCAGCCAAGAAAAUAGUGUUACUGCUUUAUUACGCUCUUGCUUGAGAAGUUUUUCCCCAUCCUAAAGUAACAACUUCAUACCACAAGUCAAGCAGAAGCAUGGUGGAAGGGUUCAUCUGGGGAGACAAGUGGCUUGUUCUACAUCUCAAAGGGACACCUCCUUAGGUGAGAGGUAUUGGAUGCACCAGCUUGCCUGUUGACCAUUCUCUUGUGAUGAAAGGUCUGGCCUUUGUCUGCCUGGCAGACAAAAAUCUUUCACUCAGCAGGACACCUAGACAGGCAGGAAUAACUGCCACAGUCAAGCACUCAGUACCAGUAAGGAGGCUGAACUGAUAGCAAAAGACCUGGAAGUCACAGGCUUUUGUUAACUCUGCACUGUCUGCCUGGUGCCCACUGGAACGCUAGUUUCCAGCCUAGAAACCUAGCAGCUUGGGAAAGCGACACCCUCCGUCUGAAGCGCAGGAGAGGAUUCCUCCAGCUAUUUUCAACUUUUCAGGAAGCUUAAAAGUAAUUGUUUGUCUCCAGCGAUAAGGGAGACCACCCCCGACCCCCUGAAUCCAGAAUACAGAGUUUCUUUGGCCUGUGGUAUCGGGGUGACCCAGAGGCCCCUAACCCAAGACCAGCAGCAGGGCUCCCAGUGAGCUUGGGGGAAAAGAGGAGGCCCCACAGCAACGCCACUUGGAGCCUGUGGACAGCCCCCAACUCCUGACCGGCCCUGCUUUGCUCUCGAAGAACAUCUUUUUCUGGAGAUCUCGGCUGCGCCAGAGGCCUGACUUUGGUGUGGAGCUGUGGCAAGAUGUGUGACCUCAACUGAAGACAGGGCUCCCUCCUUCCCAGACCUCCCCAGGCUCUUUUCUAGUCAUGGCCUGAGCUGGGGCAUGAUGGAGACUUCAGCCUACUUCCUUCCCUCUACCUCUGUGCCAAGCCUCCAGGGCCAGAUCAAAGAGCUUCCUCUCUGAGUCUCAGGUUCCCCAUCCACGAAAUGGAGAGCUGACGACCUACCUCCCAGGGGUUUGUGCGGAUGGCCUAAGCUAAUGUAAUAAAGCGACUGCCCAUGAUACC